UACGUAGGGUGCGAGCGUUAAUCGGAAUUACUGGGCGUAAAGCGUGCGUAGGCGGUUGGCAAAGUCAGCUGUGAAAGCCCCGGGCUUAACCUGGGAAUGGCGGUUGAAACUAGUCGACUAGAAUCUGGCAGAGGGGGGUGGAAUUCCACGUGUAGCAGUGAAAUGCGUAGAGAUGUGGAGGAACACCGAUGGCGAAGGCAGCCUCCUGGGCCAGCACUGACGCUCAUGCACGAAAGCGUGGGGAGCAAACAGG
rnacentral:rRNA from 1 species